UCUUUUCCCUUCCUUUCUUUUCUCUUCCUUUCCUUUACUAAUAAUGAACCAAAUAGGGCCUGAAUCUUCCUCUCAAUAUUUAUACAGUUGGUUAGGGAUUGAAGAUUUGCCGACUAUUUGCGUUGAAGGUUAAAGAAUUUUCUCGCGAAUUCUAUCGGUGGAGUUCAACAGAAAAAUGUUCAAGGAGGAGGAGAGAGAAGAAACAGAAAAGCUUUAGGAGACAUUGGAUAUGUAGUAACUUCAAGAGGGGGAUUAAUUGUUGAUGUGGAUGGUAUUGUAAAACCUCAAGCAAUUAACUGUCCUCUCACUAGGAGAUUCUGCGCCCAAUUACUUGCAAAUGCACAAGAAGAUGCUGAGAAAAAGAAGUACGUUAAUUGAUUGCAGAAACAAGGACAGCAAGUCCAUUAAUUCCUCUAAUUCUGAAGUUUCGGAUCAGGUGUUUUGAAUCAUGGCUGACGGAGUGACAUAUACUAUCGUUCGCAGAAAAAGAGUGAUUGAAUUUAUGAUGAUAUUUGUAGAUUGAGAUAAUGAAUUGGUGUUUGUCAACCCAAGAACAUUAACAACUGGUUUAUCAACCAAAGGGUAAGGGCCAACUGGCACAACAACUCUCAGUCAGCGAAUACUCUCAAGUCUACACCCAAGAGAUUGAAGGGAAAAGAAGAUAGCAAAUGAAUAGGUCCGUGAAUGUGGAAUGCAGGACAUCAACAAGACAAAGAUGGAGUUAUUUUUACCUAAUGUUAGAUAUUGUAAUCACAUUAGAGUCUUUUAAAAAAUAGUUUUUAGAUUGUACUAAUCUGUUUGAUUUUACCUAUUAUGUUAGGGAUAAAUUUUAAAGAGUGUAAUAUUAAAACUCUAAUUAUGUAUUGUACAAAGAAUUUAGCUAUGAUGAUGAUGUAACUAUUAGACAUAUUAAAGAAUUCUAUGUAAACACUUCAAAUUAUUAUUUAAUAUAAUGAAAAAUUUCAAAAAA